rnacentral:rRNA from 1 species
GACGAACGCUGGCGGCGUGCUUAACACAUGCAAGUCGAACGGAAAGGCCUCUUUCGGGGGGUACUCGAGUGGCGAACGGGUGAGUAACACGUGAGUAACCUGCCCUUGACUUUGGGAUAACUUCAGGAAACUGGGGCUAAUACCGGAUAGGAGCUCCUGCUGCAUGGUGGGGGUUGGAAAGUUUCGGCGGUUGGGGAUGGACUCGCGGCUUAUCAGCUUGUUGGUGGGGUAGUGGCUUACCAAGGCUUUGACGGGUAGCCGGCCUGAGAGGGUGACCGGCCACAUUGGGACUGAGAUACGGCCCAGACUCCUACGGGAGGCAGCAGUGGGGAAUAUUGCACAAUGGGUGGAAGCCUGAUGCAGCAACGCCGUGUGCGGGAUGACGGCCUUCGGGUUGCAAACCGCUUUCGCUCAUGACGAAGCUUUGUGUGACGGUAGUGGGUAAAGAAGCACCGGCUAACUACGUG